UACGGAGGGGGCCAGCGUUGUUCGGAAUCAUUGGGCGUAAAGGGCGCGUAGGCGGCUUGGUAAGUCCGUUGUGAAAUCCCUCGGCUCAACCGAGGAACUGCGACGGAUACUGCUUGGCUUGAGUCCCGGAGAGGGUAGCGGAAUUCCCAGUGUAGCGGUGAAAUGCGUAGAUAUUGGGAGGAACAUCGGUGGCGAAGGCGGCAUCCUGGACCGAGAUUGACGCUGAUGCGCGAAAGCCAGGGGAGCAAACGGG
rnacentral:rRNA from 1 species